rnacentral:misc_RNA from 1 species
CAACCCUCGAACCCCUCCGGGGGGUCGGCGUUGGGGAUCGGGAACCCCUAAGACGGGAUCCCGGCCCCGAAAUACAGUGGCGGUCUCGCCGCAGCCUCUCCUGCGCAGUAGUUUGCACAACUCGCACCGGGAGCGCGGCGCGUCCACAGCCGUUAAACACCCCAAACUUCUGAAA